UUGCUAGCCGUUGGGCAGCUUGCUGUUCAGUGGCGCAGCUAACGCAUUAAGCAGCCGGCCACGGUAGGAUCAGCGACUGGGCCG
rnacentral:rRNA from 1 species